rnacentral:rRNA from 1 species
AUUGAACGCUGGCGGCAGGCCUAACACAUGCAAGUCGAGCGGAGCGGCGGACGGGUGAGUAAUGCCUAGGAAUCUGCCUGGUAGUGGUGGAUGACGUCCGGAAACGGGCGCUAAUACCACAUACUAUCAGAUGAGCCUAGGUCGGAGUAGCUAGUUGUUGGGGUAAAGGCCUACCAAGGCGACGACCCGUAAAUGGACUGAGAGGAUGAUCAGUCACACUGGAACUGAGACACGGUCCAGACUCCUACGGGAGGCAGCAGUGGGGAAUAUUGGACAAUGGGCGAAAGCCUGACCGAGCCAUGCCGCGUGAGUGAAGAAGGUCUUCGGAUCGUAAAGCACUUUAAGUUGGGAGGCGUUACCAACAGAAUAAGCACCGGCUAACUCCGUGCCAGCAGCCGCGGUAAUAC